CCGCCCCCACGACUGCACGUCGCCGUGACGCGCAUCGCACGAGGCGGUUCGAACCAAUAAAGUCAGAGCUAGUGCGCAGGCGCGUUGGCCAAAACCGGAAACUGCUCUUCUGACCGCUCUAGAACGUGGUGGCAUCUUGGGAGUUGUGGUUCGGCCAGGAACUCAACGAAAACAGUACUGAGAAAGUGCUCCGCGGGCGCUCACACAAAUCUCCGUUUUCUUUCUCCAAUAGAAAACGGAAGCAUUUAGAUCAGAAGAGGCAGGGGCCCGCCCGGCUAGGGGACGCUUUUUCCGGUCUCUAUGGAUACGGGCUACACACCUUGGGCGGAAGCCAAAAUUUUGGGAUUUUUAGGGUGGCUCGUGUUUCUGCCAACGGCCAGUAUAUUGCUAGGCGUCGUCUGUGAGAGCUUCCGAAAUAAAUCCGAAAGUAUUAGCCAAGUCUUGUGCAAGACAAUAGCGUUUAUCUUUUAUUACCUUGUUAAGGUAUUAUGAUUUAUGCCUUCUAAAAAACAAAUGUGAACCCACUCACUCUUAAAAUACAUGUAAUUCGGACUAAUUUGUAAAAUGUUUUUAACGUAAUAGCAGAUCACUAUAGCAGAAAUGUAAUAGCAGAAACUAAUCUGGCAUUAAAUACUGUGUCUAUUUCCCAGAAUGAGUUUCUAUUGAGCUCUAACUUCUAAGAAACCAAGAAUGGUUUGGUUACAUACUUAUUCUAUAAGAAAAGAAAGUAAAAGCUCCCCACCCCCCAGCCAAAAGUUCGCUUUUUCACUAACCGGAAGAAUUAAAAAAAAAAAAAAAAGGUUUUCGCUUUUCCGAAAUGGUAAUUGUUUCUUUGUUUUUCGCCUUGGCUUUGGAAAGGCUUCAGUGAGAACACUGUACUUUCGGAUAGCCAGGUGAAAUCGGUUGGCAUAGAAAAAUGUGUUUCUCACGUUCAGUUAUAAGAUGAAUUUAUCACACUCUGAAGAGGUAAUUGCCUUAACUGUCAAAACUCUUGUUAUUGAUAUAGAGGAAAUCCGUAAGCUUUCAAGAACACUUAUGCCCAUACUUUGCUUGUCCUUCCCUGAACCACAGCAGGAGAAAACAAAGAAUUCUGGAAAAACCUGCACAGAUCUCAUAACCAAAAGGCCUAGAGUCUAAUGUAUGAGGAACCCGCCCCUAAAAAAAAUAGGGAACUCUUCAAGCCUGGAAAUGUAAAUUCUAAGAAGUGAUUAAAGUCACUAAAAUCACGAGGAGCAUGAAUAAAAUGCUCUUAAUACAAUAAAUUAGGCCACCCAGUUAAGGUUGCAAGAGAUAAAAUUAAUGCAAAUAAGAUUAUAGAAAUUAAAAGAAUAAAUUCCCUUCAAGGAGUAGUUUACACUGAAAAUGUAAAUUUUUUAAAUUUACAUAUUUUUUAAUUUACAUAAUUUGUAAAAGAUAUAACAGUAAUGACCUGUUUUUCCAGGUAAAGACAUAAAGCUUUUGAGAUUGAUAUCAAGGAAGACAUUGAUACACUUCCACAGCACAUUAGAAAUGAAACACAGACACCUUUGGAUGGCAAAUUUGACCCGGUAUACCAAAUCACAUAGGGAAAAGAUGAGAAGAACAAGAGCCUGAGAGUUAAUAAAAGGUCUGCUAAAGGGAACAGAGCUAUAUAAAAAAGACAAUUAGAAAAGAUCCAAGUUCUCAAAUAUUUUCUCAAAGCAUUCUUCUCUUUUAAUGAUUUGCUUUGACAAAAUGCUCAACUCAAAGAAACUUUCUCUGGAACAGUCCAUUGUGUGCUAAAACGUGAGAAAGAGUGUUAUUUUCCCACCAAGAUUUUACCUCCCAUUCUCUGUCACCUUGAUCUCAUUCCCAGAUCACUACUGCCAAUUCUUGAUGUUCACAAUGAUAAACCACUUCAUUUCCUCAGAAUGCUCACACCUUCUCAGCUAUUGAGGGUGUUGCCAACAUACUUCACCUGAGGGACAUUCCCCUGAGGCCCAUGUCCAUACUGGCUUCACCCAUAUCCCUUACCUAAAUGUCACCAUUAAAUGUUCCAAAGCAGAUUUCUCAGGACUCUCUCCCAGGCUGUACUUCAGUUGCUAAUCUUUAUAUAUUAACUUAUGACUCGCUGUCCAAAAACCAAGGAGAAUUCAGGACAAUUCUGUGUCUUCAGUGUCAGCUGUGGAUCUUUAGAAUCUCUGCUGUCUCCAUUCUUAAAGUGUCACACUUCCCCACCACAGGAGAGUGGAGUUCUUCAUCUUCCACAGCACCAAGAAGAGUCCCUUCCACCCCUACUCUCCAUACCAGUCACCAAUGACACAAUAGUGCCUGUGGCACAGCUAGUCUGAUGUAGUCAUCUCAACAAUUAUCAGAUAUUGUUGACAAAGAGAAUGCAUCACUGGGUGAGUAACGUUCAUAAUCUAGUUGUAGCCAUCCCAGAAUGAGGCUUGAGUGACAUUACAAUAUGUUGCCAAAAUGUUGAUAUUGGACUCGUUGGAGGAGCAGGCUUAGGUUCCAUUGUGAUAUGUGAGUCAAUAGCCAAUGGGAAUUGAAGUUGUAUCUAAAAUGACAAGCAAAUGAAGGUACAGCUUUCAAAUUCUAAAGGCAUGUAGGCUCUGUUGCCAAAGUCAAGAUGGCUGUUAACUGUUCCUGUCUCACUUUCCCCAAGCUCAGCAGUCCGAAUGGAUAGAGAACAUCUUUCCAGUUAAUGACCCUCUCAGGAAAGACCAAAGUUGACACAGGAAAGAACGGUGGAUUUCCGGGUAUACAAAAGACUAAAGAAAUCCAGAAAUUUCUUCUUUGUGAAGAAGAAUUAAGUCCUGGCAUAGAGACUGGACAGCUGGAAGAGCACUUGGGGAACGGAAGUUCAGAAGCUCAGCUCAUGGUUUUGUCUCUUUGCCAUCAGACAUUUUUAGAGCCCUUGUGAAUUGUAAAGACCACUAUUAUUCAAAACCUCAGACUCCUAAUACCUGGGAAAGGCAAUGGAAAGAGAGUUUUCCUUUGGGUAAAUACAGGGGAAGCAGCGGAGAAGAGAAUGGCCUCCGAGGCCCCUUCCUGAGGACUGGCCAGAUUUCCACCCUGCUGGUAGGGAAAGGACAUUUCUGCCAGGAGACUUGGCUGCCUUUUGACUGGAAAGGAAAUUCCUGGAGAGAGACUUUACUGUUCCAAGGCUUUUGAGAUACAAGGGAAUCCCAGUAACCAAGGAUCAUGGGGAAGGCCAGAAAGCUGAUGCAUCCAGUCCUGAGAGCUCAGGCCAUCUCCUCAGAAGGAAGAGAUGCUGCUCUGGCCUUGGGGGAUGAAGGCCAGCACAGGGACUGACUCAUAAACCCGAGAACUGUGUGACUCCCCUUCCCACCCCUGCUCUCCCACCAGCCAAUCCCCAUUCUUUCCUCUGUUCAUAGACCCUGUAGGUCCAUAGAAGAGCAAGCAAUGAGCAACUUGACUUGUCCCCUUCCCCUCAGACCUGUCCUUAAUAAUUGAAAGGAAGGGUAUUUUUUUCUUCUAAAGCUCCACAUUAAGGCUGGUACAGUUCCUCCUCUCCCUCUUAGCACUUGGGAUUUGACACAUGAAACCUACCCAUUGUUCAUCUGUACGGCUCAUCCCCUUUCCAUGAAGAGUCCAUCUCACCGCCUCCUGCCAGCUUGGUGCUUUCUUCAAGGGCCACAAUGUCUCACCUAGCCUGAGGGCUCAAGUCCUAAUGCUGUGUUACUUACAUUGCCAGAACAAAUUAAGAUUCGCAAAGAAAAAAAAAAACUGGGGUGCCUGGCUGGCUCAGUCGGUACAACACAUGACUUGAUCUCAGGGUUGUGAGUUGAAGCCCCAUGUCAGGCAUGGAGCUUAUUUAAAAAAAAAAAAAAAAGCCACUUCUCUUGUGUACAAUGACCCCACCACAAAGGCAGCUCUGUAAUUCAUACUGUGAGUUGCCUAGUUGGUUGCACUGUCCUAGACAUGUAACUCCCCAAGUUCAGCAAUACACAGCUCUCUUUUUGCUUCAACACGUACAUAAAUAUACUCUGGUCAUUUUGUGCCUGAUUUCCUGUAAUUGGCUCUGUAUGCUUUGUCCUCUUACUUUAUCUUUUCAAUUUUUUUAAAAGAUUUUAUUUUUCAAUACUCCCUGCACCCGACAUGGGACUCAAACUCACAACCCUGAGAUCAAAAGAGAUCAAGAGUCACAUGCUCUACCAACUGAGCUGGCCAGGCACCCCCGUCCUUUGACUUUAGAUUUGAGAUCACCAAGUUCCUUCCACCGUGUGCCCCAUCAAAAGAAAUUUCCUCAGUCGCUCUUCUCAUCCAAAAUUCAUGCUGGCUAGAUGAGGAAGAUUACUGUACACACCUUGAGACUUAAAAGGAAAUAGGCACCUCUUAUUUCAGGUGACUAGAUGCUAUAAUUACCCAGAAACCCACUAAGGAACCAGAAAGAGCUCCAGUGUCAGCAUCAAUUAUUAGCUGUGUGAGUCAAAUGAUAUUACAUAGCCUCUCUGAGUCUUAGUUUUGCCAUCUGUCACAUGUGGAUAAUAAUGCCUAGCUUACAGAGGUACUGAGAGAAUUAUGUGUAAUAUAUAUAAAGCAGCCAGUAUACAGUAAGCACUAGAUAAUUGGUAGCUAUAAUUAUUCCCCACGUCUAUAAUGAUAACCUUCAAGCAAAGCAUGCAAAGUAUUUCGCAGCAUAGAAACUACUUAAGAGCAAGGAAUAAACUUUGGCUAAAGGCAUGCCCAGUAUGCAGCCACUUCCCUGACCCACACUCCAUUGUCAUCACUCAAGUUCAGUGGCCCAGCCAAGCAGGACUAGGCAUUGUCCUCAUGGUUUCCUUCUCCCUCCCUCAAUGGUUGCUUGAUUUAAUUUUUUUUUUACCAGUGGGGAAGAGGGGCAGAGGGAGAGAGAGAAAGAGAAUCCCAAGCAGCUACAUGCUCAGCACAGAGCCCAACAUGGGGCUUGAUCCCACAAGCCUGUGAUCAUGACCUGAGCCAAAACCAAGAGGUGGACAUUCAACCAACUGAGCCACCCAGACAGCCCGGUUGCUUGAUUUUUUAAUCUCAUGGUUUCCUUAACUCUAUUACUUUCCACACUCAUCUCUAAAAAUAAGUAAAAUAACACCUCUUUCCAAAUUGGUUCAAACAAAUAAA